GAUGAACGCUGGCGGCGUGCCUAAUACAUGCAAGUCGAGCGAACAGACGAGGAGCUUGCUCCUCUGACGUUAGCGGCGGACGGGUGAGUAACACGUGGAUAACCUACCUAUAAGACUGGGAUAACUUCGGGAAACCGGAGCUAAUACCGGAUAAUAUAUUGAACCGCAUGGUUCAAUAGUGAAAGACGGUUUUGCUGUCACUUAUAGAUGGAUCCGCGCCGCAUUAGCUAGUUGGUAAGGUAACGGCUUACCAAGGCAACGAUGCGUAGCCGACCUGAGAGGGUGAUCGGCCACCCUGGACCUGAGCCACGGUCCAGACUCCUGCGGGAGGCAGCAGUAGGGAAUCUUCCGCAAUGGGCGAAAGCCUGCCGGAGCAACGCCGCGUGAGUGAUGAAGGUCUUCGGAUCGUAAAACUCUGUCAUUAGGGAAAAACAAAUGUGUAAGUAACUAUGCACGUCUUGACGGUACCUAAUCAGAAAGCCACGGCUAACUACGUG
rnacentral:rRNA from 1 species